rnacentral:rRNA from 1 species
AUUGAACGCUGGCGGCAUGCCUUACACAUGCAAGUCGAACGGCAGCACGGGGGCAACCCUGGUGGCGAGUGGCGAACGGGUGAGUAACAUAUCGGAACAUACCCUAGAGUGGGGGAUAACGUAGCGAAAGUUACGCUAAUACCGCAUACGAUCUAAGGAUGAAAGUGGGGGAUCUUCGGACCUCAUGCUCAUGGAGUGGCCGAUAUCUGAUUAGCUAGUUGGUGAGGUAAAGGCUCACCAAGGCGACGAUCAGUAGCUGGUUUGAGAGAACGACCAGCCACACUGGAACUGAGACACGGUCCAGACUCCUACGGGGGCAGCAGUGGGGAAUUUUGGACAAUGGGGGCAACCCUGAUCCAGCAAUGCCGCGUGAGUGAAGAAGGCCUUCGGGUUGU